CCUACGGGUGGCAGCAGUGAGGAAUAUUGGUCAAUGGGCGGAAGCCUGAACCAGCCAAGUAGCGUGCAGGAUGACGGCCCUACGGGUUGUAAACUGCUUUUAUACGGGAAUAACGCGCCUUACGUGUAGGGCUUUGCAUGUACCGUAUGAAUAAGGACCGGCUAAUUCUGUGCCAGCAGCCGCGGUAAUACGGAAGGUCCGGGCGUUAUCCGGAUGUAUUGGGGUGAAAGGGAGCGUAGGCCGCAUGUCAAGGUUGCUGUGAAAUGUCCGGGCUCAACCCGGGCCUUGCAGCGCGAACUGGCGUGCUUGAGUCUGCGGAAGGCAGGCGGAAUUCGUGGUGUAGCGGUGAAAUGCUUAGAUAUGACGAAGAACCCCGAUUGCGAAGGCAGCUUGCUGCAGCGGAACUGACGCUGAUGCUCGAAAGCGCGGGUAUCGAACAGGAUUAGAUACCCGAGUAGUC
rnacentral:rRNA from 1 species